rnacentral:lncRNA from 1 species
UCCCGUUGGAAUUUUUCUUUUUAUACCAUUCUUGAAUUUUUGACAAAAUUUCAAAAAUUUGAAAUCUUUCAAUAUUUUGAGACAUGCGGAACGAAAAUAGUAACCCUAGAAGUGAGGAUGUAAAACCGGUUAACUGAUAACCCUAUCAUCAGCUGUUGUUUACUUUUUGAAAUGUCAAUCGUUUCAUCGUGUUUUCAAUCGCGGUAGAAAUCACAUCGUGUGAGUAUUUGCAUUUUUUUUUAAUUAAUAACUUAUUCGACAUGUUCUGAGGAAAUAUUCUGUAAUAAACUAUUACGAUGCGUAUUCAUUACGAGCUGAGGCCUUUGUUUUGUAACCUAAUCACCCCACCUGCUGUCUUCCAGAUGAGAUUUAGAUGCACUCCGGAAACAGUUAAACAAUAAUGUACUCUAUGAUUAAUAUACUACUACACCACGCAAUCUUGGAGUUAUCAUAUGAUCAGUUCAAGAAUUUAUCAACUCCGGCGGCGAAAAGAAGUGCAUGCAUGCUCGCAUUCUCCGUUCGCUCCUGACGGGUGGCUCAGCAGUUAACAAUCUGAACGGUAUGAAGAAUAUCCUGACGAACGGCGGGAUCAGUAUGCUUCGGGAAAACUUCAUCAACGGUAUGGAUGACUAUCAUCUGGGUGUUUUCAGUGGACGCAAGAAGGAUGAACAACUCGAGUAACAAAUCCCAAUCCUCUAAAUUGAAUAAUAAUCGAACACCUUCAUUCAAGUUGGUAUUUCUAAUAGAUUCUUGGAAGAAGUACAUGUACAUAUUCAUUAAAUAAUAAAUAAUGUUGAUUAUUCAA